GGCUCCAAAAAUAUAGAAAAAGACAGGACAAAAACAGAGCAAGCAGGGCAGACAUGGGCAGGGAGGGAGCAGAGGGAAAAAGCAUCCGCCUUCAUCGAGAGCAAGAGAGUAAAGGAACCAGUAGCUACCAGUAGAACCAGUAGGAACCAGUAGGAACCAGUAGGACACAAAGGACACGGAAGACAUGGCGCACCGCCUGGGGAACCGAUGGAGAAGAAAACAUCAUCAUCCAGUUCUCCAGACGGCGCCUCUGGGACGCGUUUUGGAAAAAGAAGAGUCGAAAUUCUGUCAAGAUGCUGGAGUUAAAUUAGCCGAGGAUCUAAGGAAGGAGGAUCUCACUGCCAGGCGGCCAUGUGGCCUCACAUCAGCUAAUAGGAAAGCAGGAGACGGUCACACAUCAGCCAAUAGGAAAGCUCCUCCUCAUGGUUACAGAAAUGGCACCUCAUCCAGAUCUGAAGUCUGUUUGUAGUAAACAGACUUCAGAUCUAUGGGAUCAUUUUCAAAAGAGGAAUAAUUUAUUAGUUUUCAACAUAAGAAAACUUUUUCUUUCGUUCGUAAUUUUUAAUUUACUCAGAACUGUUUCUUGUUGCUGUGAGGUUCCAGCUAAUGUUUUCUCUGAAAACCAAUUAAUUAUCUUUCAUUUCUCUCAACCGAAGGCUCCUAAAGACGAUGGAAAACGAAAAGCCAUUUUUCUUGUUCGUGUUUUUUACAGGAAACCCAGUCUGCCCUUCAGACGGUUCUUCUGGACCAACCAGGGGACAGACGGAGUCCUGUGGCUCCAGCAGAGCUGCAGGUGGAGCAACGAUCUGCUGGGCCAGAUUGUUUGGUCUUUGGUUGGCUGGAUUCAGAAGGAUGUUAUUGUCCUGGUGAAUGUUUAUAACAAUCCCACUCAGAAUAAGCUUUUGUUGUCUGACAUAUCUAAUGUUAUUGCAGAGUACAAAAACAUUUAGAUACUAACUUUGUUUUAGUUGGAGAGUUUAAUAUGGCGCCUGAUGUUUGGCUGGACAGAUGUCCAUUAAACCAAUAACCGUCAUAAUGGAGCCCUGCUUGGUUUCUAUGACAACCACUCAUUGAUAGAUAUAAUCGAUCUGCAGCUUCAAUGCCUCAGAUUGAUAUUUCAGAGGUUUUAAUCUGAAAUGCUCCAUUAACUGAUUGCUGAUCGAUCAUCUUAAAUCAGAGACAAAUAAAAACAAGAGGAAGAUCGACUGCAACCUGAUCAGAGUUAAUUCUAGAAAUCAGGUGGGAAUUUUUUACAUUUAAAGUUAGAAGACUAUUAAAUUUAAUAAG